AAAUGGAAUCCCUGAAUUCAAUUAUAUUGACGUUAAGGAAAAGAAAAUUGGGAAAUGCAAAGCCUAAAUAUGUGAGAUCUUUAAAAAAAAAAUGUCAUUCAGACCAAAGGCAUGCAGAAACGAGCAACACUUCAUAGCGAUGUUCCUGAAUGAAUCAGUGUUUAAAU